AGAGCCCAUAGUAUCAAUUCUUAAGGCCAUUAUGUUUACUUUUCAUGUACGUAAUUGUGUUUAACAGUUAGAUGUGAUGUAGAUACAAUAUUUUUAGAUGCGUUGUCACAUUGUUGCUGUCUUUUGUGGGUAAUGCCAUAUUUGGCUAGGGAAUUUAGUGACUGCAAUACUGGAAGAUUCCAGUAGGGGGCGUAGACAGGAGACUAGGGUCAAGCACGUGUUCCUUUAGUAUCAUAGAACAAUACACUGAUCGAGGGAAACUCAGCGUGUUUGUUUGUCUCUAAUACCUGUUCCCUUAUUGCAGAUUUCAAAGAAGAUGAUAGACUGGGAGUGCAGGGUGUAAAAAGAUUAAUCGUUCAAGACUCCACCUCCUCAGACACCACAGACUAGAACAUAGACACUGCUCAAAAAUAAGUCCACUUCCAUCUUGAAGAUUCUGAAGUGCAUAUUGAGAAUGCUCCAGUGGCUCUAUUUACGGUUGUGCGUUACAGCUCUAAUGCCCAAAUGCAUUAUGACCCAGUGAAUGUCUCUGUUGUUCUUGAGGACGAAUUGGUCACCACCCACAACCAACUUACAGAGGCCUUUCUUGUCUUGUUUGGAUUCCUGUAUGCUUUUCACAUACAAUAUCCUAAAGAACUUGUAUUUGUGCAAAAAAGUUUUUCUUGACAUGGAAGAUGGGAAACUGUCUCCUAGCCUGCAAACCUUAAAAAACGAGUUGAUCUGAAGCAUAACUUGUACUACCUCAGCACACAAAAGACAAAAAGAGUUACUUAAAUGUUAUCUAACUGAUGUUACUUUUGUCAUGAGUCUGGUUUUCUCUGUCUGCCUUUUUGUCACAUACACACACACACACACAUUUAUUCACAUACACACGCCUUCUCUCGCAUACAUCCCUUCAUUUUUAGUGGUAUACCAAACUCUCUCUCUCCCUCUCUCUCCCCUCUCACCUGUGUGUCAUUGCAAUCUGCGCUCGUGCUGAUUGCUGUGACACCUGUUCCCACUCUGCCCUUAGCAUUUAUCUGGUGGCUGUUUUGGCAGUCUCUUUGUCCAACCAGACGUUGUUUGCCAACUGCCAUAAAAGAAGAAGAAGAAGAAGAAGAAGAAGAAGAAGAAGAAGAAGAAGAAGAAGAAGAAGAAGAAGAAGAAGAAGAAGAAGAAGAAGUCAAAGAAGUCUCUUUGUCGGAUUAUUGAAUUGCACAUGUUCUCUGUAUACUCUACAGCUUUAUCGUGUCGUGUCGUGUAUUGGAAAAAGCUCACCUGGUCUCGUCUUGUCUGUCCUGUCCAGUAUCUCUGCUAUUUCGUUUGAUGUUCAGCUGUGUGUGAAAGCUGAGGAGUUUUUUUCCGUACCUGAUUUGUCUACUGUUGCGCCCCGGGCCAGCUCCAGGGAAUAUCUCUAUCGUUUUCCCGGAUUGGGAGUCAAGCAUCUUUUGUUACAUUCCAGUGCUGUGUGACAUCUCCAGACUGCCUUUGUUACCUUUUAAUUAAAGACUCAUUCCCUGUGAUUCCUGCCUUGGAUUUAUCAUUUCAGUAUAACAACUUUAUUUUGUUACUUGUCAAUAAGAACUAAGUAGAUACAAGUUAUUGUAUUAACAAACCGGUUCAGUUUAAGAAAUUGUCAUGUUUAAUGCAACUAUGUGGUGUUAAUAUAUGAAGUUGGCUGUUAAAGGAGCAUUUCACUUGUAGAAACAUUAAUCUUUAUUGAAAGUGUCUUAUAUUUGUAGGCAGUGUUGGGCAAGUUACUUCCAAAGUGUAAUACAUUAUAUAUUACAAAUUACUGUCAUUUGAAAGUAAUUAGUUACAUUACAAUAUUACUAUCUACUGUAAUGAGUUACACUACUUUUGCGUUACUUUUGAGUUACUUUCAUCAAAAGAACAGAAGUAUGACUAGGCAUUAUAAAAUGUUAAAAUGUAGUUUGUUGCUGCUUAUAAAUCUAGAAGUUAUGUGUUGGCCCUCGAGCUUUGAAUAGGGCUUGGGCGCCGCGUUGCAUUCUGGGACGUGGCGGCCAUGUUGGUGGCCUCGCGAAUGUAAUCAUACUAGUGAUGGGCAGUCCGGCUCUUUCCAUUGAUUCGGCUCUUUCGGCUCAAGCGCUGGCUCUACAUUUUAGUGAUGGCAGUCCGGCUCUUUUCAUAGAUUCGGCUCUUCUGGCUCGGCUCCCUUAGAAGAGCCGGCUCCCCUGCAUGCGUCUGAAGAUUCGGCUCUGCUCGUUCGCUACAAAGAAUCAGCUCUUAGAGCCGCUCGUUCGCGAACGACCCAUCACUAAAUCAUACAGCAAGUUGAACGAGGAGAAGCGGCAGAGUUGGGAGAAUUAAAAGAAAGAAAAAAGAUGUUAAAAUCCGGAAAAGUAUGUGUAAUUUACUGGGAUACGUUAAACAGGGAAGCAGGGACCGGUAUGUGGACAAAAUCGGAACUAUUAACGGUUGGGAUCCAUAUGAAAAAAGAGUCAUUUAAGAUAACAGCGUGGUUGUUGUAAGAGCACGAUUUCACGCCAAUCUGUAAGCAAAGUCACGUAUGACCUAGCUUCACAAGUAGCUUAGUUAAUGCAGCAGUUUUUGCUGUCAGCAGAGGGAUAGCAACAGAAAGAUGAAUGUUGAAAUGUUCCCGUAUUUUGGGCGAGUAAACCGGGACAUUUCCCUUAUGUUCAAUGUUGACUUAAGCUAUAUAAAUUAAUAUUCAGAUGUUAUACUUCACUGUCGUAUAUAUAAAUGUCAUUUAUAUGUCAUGUAUACACAUUACUGAGGGGUUGAGGUUAAUGUUUGGUUUCCGAUAUUGAAUAAAA